AGUGAACGCUGGCGGUAGGCCUAACACAUACAAGUCGAACGGCAGCACAGUAAGAGCUUGCUCUUACGGGUGGCGAGUGGCGGACGGGUGAGGAAUACAUCGGAAUCUACUUUUUCGUGGGGGAUAACGUAGGGAAACUUACGCUAAUACCGCAUACGACCUACGGGUGAAAGCAGGGGAUCUUCGGACCUUGCGCGAUUGAAUGAGCCGAUGUCGGAUUAGCUAGUUGGCGGGGUAAAGGCCCACCAAGGCGACGAUCCGUAGCUGGUCUGAGAGGAUGAUCAGCCACACUGGAACUGAGACACGGUCCAGACUCCUACGGGAGGCAGCAGUGGGGAAUAUUGGACAAAGGGCGCAAGCCUGAUCCAGCCAUACCGCGUGGGUGAAGAAGGCCUUCGGGUUGUAAAGCCCUUUUGUUGGGAAAGAAAAGCAGCAGGUUAAUACCCCGCUGUUCUGACGGUACCCAAAGAAUAAGCACCGGCUAACUUCGUG
rnacentral:rRNA from 1 species